rnacentral:lncRNA from 1 species
AAGUACAAAGAAAAAGAGCAAGAAAGAAAAAAAAAAAACGGGAGAAGAAAGAGAAAGGAGGAGCCGAGACAAGAGAAGAGAGGAGAUCGGGAGAACCAUGAGAAGAAGGAGAGGCUUCGGCAGCCACUUAUAUGGGUAGGAGAGAAGAGGAUCUCCAUUGAAGAUGGAAGAGAAGAAGAAGAAGAAGGUAAAAUUUUUCUCUCUCUAAGCUUUAUUCCUUUAUCUUUUGUAAUUGAUGAUUUGGGUUUUUAAUUUGGGAGUUAAAAUCCUAAGAUAUAUGUGAUUUAUAUAGAUUCAUGUAUGGAUUUAGCUAUUUUGGGUGUUGAUUUGGUUUGAAACCAAAAGAAGAGAAAAAUAAAAUUUUUCUAGUUUAGAAACUCAAAAUUUCUAUAUACUUUGAAAUUUCACCGUUUUAAAUCUAUGACUUCUUUUUGCGAUCCGUCAAAAAGGGAUGUUAGAUAUAUGUGUUUAGUAGUUAACCCAAGUGGUAGUACUCAAAAAUGUUGAGUUUACAUGGGGUAGUGACUGAUUUGGUGAAAACAGUUCCGUUUUUACAACCAGAACUGGGCAGAUUCGGGGCAGUCAGUAGCGAGGGCAAUUUCGUCCAGUUUUUGUGCUUUAAAAAUUCUGGGCUUUUGGUAUGUUGUAGUACUCUGAUUUAGCUUUCCAUAGACUCCGGAACGGACUAAUUCCGAUUCCGGAUGAGGUAGUUAUGGCGUUCGGGAGAUGUGUAUCAAAACUGUUAAUCAAAUUCCGAACAGCCACCUUUGUGUAAAUUUCUGGACUGAUGUGUUAUGAUUUUGGAAAAAUGUCGUGAGACAAAAGUUGUAGCCCUGGAAGUUAUCUUCGUGUGGGCUCAAGAAUCGCUCAAAAAUGUUUUAAAACGCGAGAGUUAUGGCUGUUUUAGUGAGGCUGGGUAAAAUAUUUCGAAAAUCAAAAGUGUUCAAAAAAAAUAGGAAAAAUGCGAUGUAUGAAGUGAGACCCGUGAGCAUAGCGUAUGCAAGUUUGUAAUGAAGCUUUGGGUCGGGGUUAAAGUGUUGUAAUGUUUAUAGCAUUUUAGAAUGCUUAAGCAAGUUAUUUAUUAAAAAGGAAAACAAUUGAAAUAAUUGUUUAUUUAUGUGAUUAAUGACUUAAGUUACUUUUAUGUGACUAAUCAUAUGGUAUUGAGAUAUUAUUAGUAGUAUGUGACUGGAAUGUUCUUAAAAGGUUAGUAACCUUGGCGUAAAAUAUUAUUACAUAAUUAAUAAUAUUUGACGGGAGAUUUAAUAAGAGAUUUAUGAUAUUUUUCAAUGUAAUUGUUGAAAUUGAUAUUCAAUGAAGUAUAUUAUGUGUUUGGGCAUAUGAUAGAGAAAUAAUAAGUCAUAAUAAUCUAAUAAAGUCUUAUGGUGCGAAAUUUGACUAUAAGUAAUAUUUUAUGCCAAUAAACUUUCUUUUAGGCAUAAAUAAAGCAAUAAAAAUAUGUAAUAAAUAUAAAUUACAUAUUUAAGCGAAAAAUAUAUAUAUGUUUAUAUAGUUGCCUAUAAAAAUUAUUUUGUGGUGGAACAAAGAAUGUAAAACCUUUGAAAUAUUGUAUUAAUCAUAAAAAUGAUAUUUUGAGGUUUUCGGUGCUCAAAAUGAAGUUUUUGAGCUGAGAUUUACGUAACGAAGCAAAAAUGCGAAUAAUCGUAAAAUGAAAAAUAAAGCGAAUGUGCUAGUGAGAUAAAAUGUUUAUAUAUGAGGCAAUAGUCAGUGUUGACUCAUGAACGGACAAACUGAAGUAAAAGUUAUUUAAAGUGAAGAAAUAAUAUAGUAAAUUGAUUUUUACUAUAAAAGCUAUACAUUAGCUGUUUAAACUCCGAAUUUGCGAGUAGAGGUAAAAGAUAUUUCUGAAAUGAAAUUUAAAUGGUUUAAGUUUCAAGAUGUAAAGUAUUUGCAUCUUAAAAUGUGUGAGACCUUUAUUAUUUAUGAAACAAGUAAAAUAUUAUUACAUGAUUAAUAAUAUUAGAAGGUGAUUACAAUAUUAUUAAAUGAUUAAUAAUAUUAGUAAAGGAUUUAAAUAUUAUUAAAUGAUUAAUAAUAUUUGUAAAUGAUAAAUAUUCUAUAAAAAGAAUAUUAGGCAAAAGUUUAAGAUAAUGGAUAAGUGAUAGUAAUAUUAUUAAGGGAUAAUAAUAUUACUAAUGAGUUAAAGAAUUAUUUAAUGUUUAAUUAUGUGGCUAAAUGUUAGCUAAUUUAUUAUUUGAGUAAUAGUGUUGUGGGAUAAAAUGUAUUAUGCUAAUUGGAGGAUCGAUCUUAUUAAUGAUAGGUCUUUUAUAAGAGAUUAAAUUGAUUGCUUAGCGGUAAUCAACGGUACAGGCAAGUUCCUAAACUUGAACUUCUAAUUAUUGUGCAAGUUUCCUAACUCAACUUGAGUUGUUAAUUCAAAGCAUGUUAGUGGUUAAUCAUUGUUGAUUUUACCACGUCAAUAAAUUAUUGAUUCGCACAUUGUGCAUGUUGUUUAUGUUCAUCAGGUAUGAAAGGCUGAUCACCUUCAUUACCAUAGGUUUCAGUUAAACUUGUUCAUGUUAAUUGUUGACAUCCAAUCUUAUUGGUUCAGUCAUUCAAUCGUUGAAAAAAAUUGAUUCAUGUUAUUUCACAAUUAUUAUAUUGUUGAAAACUUGAAAGCUUAUCCAUUCUUUUCAAUCAUGAUAUAUCUCCUUUGUAUGUAAAACUUGCUGGGCAAAUUUGUUGCUCACCCUUGCUAUAUCAUGAUAAAAUUUUCAGAUUAAGAUGAAAGCUUGAAUAAGGACAGAGGCAAAGACAAAGUGCAAAGUUUCUUUAUGUUGUAGUUAAAUUUAUUAAAUUUUCUGAUGAAAAUAGUAUUGUAAAUCUUCUAAGAUAUUGAAGGUAUGUAUUAAGUUAAGGUUGUAGACCUUGGGAAUGAUGUGUAAAAGUUUAAUGUAUAAACAAUUUAUGUUUAUAUCUUUCGCAAUAGUGAUAGAAAUAGUAUACCGGAUCCGUGGCGAUUUGGGACCCGGAUUCGGGGAUGUUACAGAUUUAAGCAAGCGCCAAGAGCUUGGAAUAGCCGAAUUGAUAAAUAUUUCCAAGACAAUAAUUUUAAAAGAUG